UUCUGGUUGAUCCCGCCGGAGGUUACUGCUAUCGAGGUCCGACUAAGCCAUGCGAGUCGAAUGUAGCAAUACAUGGCGUACUGCUCAGUAACACGUGGAUAACCUACCCUUGAGACGGGGAUAAACCCGGGAAACUGGGUAUAAUACCCGAUAGAUCUCGACUGCUGGAAUGCAUCGAGCUCUAAAGCUCCGGCGCUCAAGGAUGGGUCUGCGGCCUAUCAGGUAGUAGUGGGUGUAGCGUACCUACUAGCCUACGACGGGUACGGGUUGUGAGAGCAAGAGCCCGGAGAUGGAUUCUGAGACACGAAUCCAGGCCCUACGGGGUGCAGCAGGCGCGAAAACUUUACAAUGCUGGAAACAGCGAUAAGGGGACCUCGAGUGCCAGGUUACAAAUCUGGCUGUCGUGAUGCCUAAAAAGCAUUGCAUAGCAAGGGCCGGGCAUGACCGGUGCCAGCCGCCGCGGUAACACCGGCGGCUCGAGUGGUAACCGUUAUUAUUGGGUCUAAAGGGUCUGUAGCCGGCCGGAUAAGUCUCUUGGGAAAUCUGGCAGCUUAACUGUCAGGCUUUCAGGAGAUACUGUCUGGCUCGAGGCCGGGAGAGGUGAGAGGUACUUCAGGGGUAGGGGUGAAAUCUUGUAAUCCUUGAAGGACCACCAGUGGCGAAGGCGUCUCACCAGAACGGACCUGACGGCAAGGGACGAAAGCUAGGGGCACGAACCGGAUUAGAUACCCGGGUAGUCCUAGCCGUAAACGAUACUCGCUAGGUGUCGGCCACGGUGCGACCGUUGUCGGUGCCGUAGGGAAGCCGUGAAGCGAGCCACCUGGGAAGUACGGCCGCAAGGCUGAAACUGAAAGGAAUUGGCGGGA
rnacentral:rRNA from 1 species